rnacentral:rRNA from 1 species
UGGGGAAUAUUGGACAAUGGGGGAAACCCUGAUCCAGCGACGCCGCGUGUGUGAAGAAGGCCUGCGGGUUGUAAAGCACUUUCGGUGGGAACGAAAUAUGCCGGGCUAAUACCCCGGUAGGCUGACGUUACUCAAUGAAGAAGCACCGGCUAACUCUGUGCCAGCAGCCGCGGUAAUACAGAGGGUGCGAGCGUUAAUCGGAAUUACUGGGCGUAAAGCGCACGUAGGUGGCGACGUAAGUCGGGUGUGAAAGCCCCGGGCUCAACCUGGGAACCGCAUUCGAGACUGCGUUGCUGGAGUACGGAAGAGGAGGGCGGAAUUCCCGGUGUAGCGGUGAAAUGCGUAGAUAUCGGGAGGAACAUCAGUGGCGAAGGCGGCCCUCUGGUCCAGUACUGACACUCAAGUGCGAAAGCGUGGGGAGCAAACAGGAUUAGAUACCCAAGUAGUCCCUGAGCGGGCUGGCAAGGCGCAU